UACGUAGGGUGCGAGCGUUGUCCGGAAUUACUGGGCGUAAAGAGCUCGUAGGUGGUUUGUCGCGUUGUCCGUGAAAACUCACAGCUUAACUGUGGGCGUGCGGGCGAUACGGGCAGACUGGAGUACUGCAGGGGAGACUGGAAUUCCUGGUGUAGCGGUGGAAUGCGCAGAUAUCAGGAGGAACACCAAUGGCGAAGGCAGCACUCUGGGACGGUACUGACGCUGAGGUGCGAAAGCGUGGGGAGCAAACAGG
rnacentral:rRNA from 1 species